GUGCAGCGAGUCUACGAUUUGCCCCUUUAAAGCCUUGGUAUUCAGACACCAAUCAGUAAGAUCAUGUCUAGAAUCAAGACAUUCAAGUAGAUUUAGAUAGCUUGUUUUCAGGUGGAAAUUGCGCAAAGUGGGCUCAAUGGUGAUAGAAAAUCAGUAUGGGUAUUUGCUGACUCCUUUUCCUCUCUCUUUUCAAUUUUGAUAGGCACAACAUAACCAGUCAUACUUCAAUACACGCUACUUGUGCACAAUCAAUAAGGUGAACCAUACUUCUACACACUCUACUUAUGAUCCCUGCAUUAUGUUCACAUAAACCUCCAAAACUAGGAUGUACAAGGAAAAUAGAUUUAAAUAUGAAUAAUCUUAUCCCAAUGAAAAGCAGAGUUCCAAUUAUUGAAAAGAUUACAAUAGGCAUACCCAGCAGACAAAUUAAGCAUUAUCUAAUUAAGCAACCAUCAAAAAAUGGAGCAAAAUAGACUUAUCAAAGCCCCAAUAAUCAAUGGCCCAAGGUGGACUUCUUGCAACCCAAUCAGACUUAGCCAACUCUAUUGAUUUAUAUUGUGAUCCAAUAAGCCAUUUAUAUUUCUGGAAAAAUAAAAAACAUAAACAAUAUGUUAAACCCAUCCAACUAAUUUUCCCCCAGAUAUAUUUUUAUCAAUUGAAAAUGCAAAAUUGAUAUAUCCAUGAUGGAUCAUCCAUGUUAAUCUAAUUAACAUGAUAACACCAAUAAGCAUUUGUAGAAAUAAGCAUACUUCUUUAACUACUAGUACUUUAACAAUCCUUUAAAAUAAAAUAUGUACCACAUAAACAAACUUUAAUUAUUUGUCCAGCUCACACAUAUAUAUGUAUAGCAAAGAAAUCAGUACUUUUAAAGUUCAUGGGUCAUGUUCUUAAGAUUUAUUGGGCUGCUAUUUAAGGCUUUGAGGAGGCUGUCAAGGACUUCUAGACAAGGAUUAAAUGAGUUUUAAAAUGAGGUCAUACUAAUUAACAAGCUUCAGCACAUAAAUCUUGUAAAGCUUUCUCAUUGAAUUCAUUUUCGAAUAUAUUUUAAGCAUUAAAAUUGAAUUCAAUAACAUGAUUUAAUAAUUUAAGAGUUUUUUGUGCUAAUGGAGAUGGAUUCGAUGGUUGGCUGCAAGGUAAUUGGUAAUUUACUAGUUUAUUAUGAUCACUUUGUUUGCUUUUGUUUUUAGAUUGGAUUAAGUGUGGUUUUUUUAAUAUUAAUUCUGAGCUGACAAAUAUUUGUGAUGGAAAUGAAUUUUAUUUUGUUAUUUCAUACAUGCGUGUGUGUAUGUGUAUGUGUAUGUGUGAAUGAUGUUUAUAUGCUUAGCUUGUAGGAAAAGUUGGCAUAUUUUAGAAUUAAAGAGUUAAGGAUAUUUUAUCUCUGUUGGGUCUUUCAAAGCAAGGGAAGAAGCAGGUAUUCUGCCUUUCUCUGGUCAGUUUUUUUUGCCUUUAUACUGUAACUGUUUGUGCAAAGAUUUGCAGGUUUUUGAUUCUAUGAAAAUUUUAUUUUUAUCUCUAACUUGUUGGCUCAAUAAUUAUGCAUGGUCUAUUUUUUUUACAGCAUUUUUAAUCAUGAUUGUUUUCUCUAGUAUUUAUUUUUCUUUUUGGGCAGGAUCUAAUGGACAAAGUUAUAGGUUUGCUCUCGGACAAUGAAAGUGAGUUACCAUAGAAUUUUGUUGUCUUCAAUAGAAUGUUAUUGUUCACCUUUGGUACUGUUAGUCAAGACCACAUGGGUGAACUCAACUUGUUUAGAAUCAAAGCCAUAACGUUUUGCUUACAUGCCUUGACAGAUUUUAACUCAACUUGAUAAAUGUUGCUAUAUAUGGGUGAAAACUUUGUGCAGUUUGCUCUGUAAAGACCUCUAAUUGAUGAUGCUUACAGGUGCUUUUUUCUAUUUUCAUGUUAUGUUCAUGAAAUCCUGACAGUUGUUAUGUAAUGUGUCUUCUAAAACUAUAAUUUUCCAGUCUACUUACUGGAAAAUAGUGUUGUUUCCCCUUAUUUUUUGUUCACAUGUUGUGUGUUAAACCAAUUAUUUUACACAUAAAAAUGCAGAUAAUGGAUGAGAGAUGCUUUUAGUUCAAAGAGCAAAACAACAAAGUUAAAAAAAGCAUAGCUAGCUAACCAAAAGUUAGAUCAAUAGAAAGGCAAUACAGGACCAAGAUUUCACAGCAAUGAACUACUGACUUCCCAGCAACAAUCAGAAUAAAUUUACAGUUAAUUGAUAUAUUAUUUAGUCACCUCCCAGGUUUCAUUUUGGUUGUAUAAUUUAUAUAUAUAUAAAAAACUCAAUAUCAGAUUUCAUGACAGAAAAUCAUUCAAUUUAUCUUUUAUUCAAACUGUCAUUGAAUAAGGAAAGAAAAAAGACAGUCCUAUGCCCAUAAAAUUUAAUUGAAUAUAACCAGCAUCAUGUUCACAUUCACCUCCAAAAUAAACAAAUUAAUUCAUGAUAUAAUGAAGCAACCAUUUAAAAUUGAGUAAAAUAGACUUACCUAAGCCCCAAGAAUCAAUGGCCCAAAGUGGAGGUUGUCUUAUUGCAACCCAAUCAGACUUAGCCAACUCUAUGGUUUAUAUUGUGAUCCAAUAAGCCAUUUAUAUUGCUGGAAAAAUAAAAAACAUAAACAGUAAUGUUAAACCCAUCAAGCUAUAACCAUUGAUAGUCUUUAAAACAAAUUCAAGUUAAACUAUGAAAAAAUGAAAUAAUAUCAUCACUGGUAGCUCUUAAAUCGACCAUCCACCACCAUAAAGAAUUCUAAACUUAUUUAAUGCAGUUCUCAAAAAGUAAUCAGAGUCUAUCUAUCCUACUUGCAAAAACUGCAUAAAAAUAAAAUAAAAUUAAAUAAAUUAAAUUUUCUAACAUUAAAUACUCAAAGGAAUGCAUACAAGCCCAAACUAUGCAUGAAAAAUAAAUUACACAAAAAAAAUGCAGAGUUGACACCUGAUUGAAGAAGUUAAUAUUGACUUGAAGUGAUACACAAGUUCAUACCAUGUAGAACCUUGGCCUGAUAUGUGAUCCAUGGAGCAAUAUGAAAAGAUAACCCAAAUGGUUCUCGUGAAUAUAAGACCCUCUGUAAAAAAGCCAAUCAAAAGAGCAGCUGCUAUAAGAUGCCAUGUUUAUAAACUGUGGAUUCUAAAUGAUUUUUAAAUCGAAACAUCAAGCAGAGACAAAUUUAACAAUGACUGGAUCAAGAAAUCAAUGAGCAAGAAAAACAUCAGUUCUUAGAUAGAAAGAUGUUAACUGUGACAGAUAAAACGUAUUCAGAUAAUUCAUUGUUAAAAAUUACAUUAACAACACUCAAUUCAACCAGCCACCUUGCUCGUAAACAACACCCAGCAUCAAUAAGACUACUUGCAUAAUUUUCAAUUAAACAUUUAUAAUUUCCAUCAAUCACUCUCUUCCACACACAUGAAUUACCAGCAUUGGUCAAUUUGCCUAAAAUCAUUCAAUUUAUGAACUGUAACCCUAAAAAUUAAAUUGGAGGUUUUGAUAAAUUUUCAAUUAAACAUGCACAAUUAGGUUAUAGAUCAUGGUAAAAACAUUUCAUAAACCCCUAUAUUAUCGAAUUAAUAGCCUAAAACCAUUAUUAAAAGUAUUGAAAAAAAAAUGUUACUUGUGUUCUUGAGUCACAGGUGACCGAGAUCGUUCUAUAGGACAAAAAAAAACCUGAGAUUGGAAAAGUUAGGUGAAAACUUUUUAGUGCAAGUUAAAUUGCAACAAAAAAAAAAACAAAAACCCUUAAUUACUUACCUGAACUAUUGAAGAGAAUUGUGAAACACCCAACCCGUUUACAAGGAGAAACCUUAAAUCAACAUGUUCGAUGGUGAUAAUGAUGGGUCUGGUUCGAUUUUGUUCAGGUGAAGGAGAAGAAGAUGAAGAAAGAAAUUUAGGGAUGCUGAAGACUCGAAGAAGAUGAAAUGUUUGGGAUAAAGGGAAAACAAAUCGAUGAACAGAGGGUGAUUUUUCUACAGUUAUGGAUCGAUGUUGUUAGGGAUGAAGGAGACUGGAAGAGUGGAGGAUCAUUAAUUUUCAUCAGUUGGUUUUGUUCAUUUGGUCUCAAUCUGUUUGCAUUUCGG
rnacentral:lncRNA from 1 species